UACGGAGGGUGCGAGCGUUGUCCGGAAUCACUGGGCGUAAAGGGCGCGUAGGCGGUUCGUUAAGUUGCUGGUGAAAUCCCGGGGCUCAACUCCGGGGCUGCCAGUAAGACUGGCGGGCUAGAGCACGGUAGAGGCAGAUGGAAUUCCCGGUGUAGCGGUGGAAUGCGUAGAUAUCGGGAAGAAUACCGGUGGCGAAGGCGUGCGGCUGGGCCGUUGCUGACGCUGAGGCGCGACAGCGUGGGGAGCAAACAGG
rnacentral:rRNA from 1 species